rnacentral:rRNA from 1 species
UGGGGAAUUUUGGACAAUGGGGGAAACCCUGAUCCAGCCAUCCCGCGUGUGCGAGGAAGGCCUUCGGGUUGUAAAGCACUUUUGGCAGGAAAGAAACGUCAUGGGUUAAUACCCCGUGAAACUGACGGUACCUGCAGAAUAAGCACCGGCUAACUACGGGCCAGCAGCCGCGGUAAUACGUAGGGUGCAAGCGUUAAUCGGAAUUACUGGGCGUAAAGCGUGCGCAGGCGGUUCGGAAAGAAAGAUGUGAAAUCCCCGAGCUCAACUUUGGAACUGCAUUUUUAACUACCGGGCUAGAGUGUGUCAGAGGGAGGUGGAAUUCCGCGUGUAGCAGUGAAAUGCGUAGAUAUGCGGAGGAACACCGAUGGCGAAGGCAGCCUCCUGGGAUAACACUGACGCUCAUGCACGAAAGCGUGGGGAGCAAACAGG